ensembl:lncRNA
UAUGAUUCAUGUCUCCGUGGAAACAUCAAUGUAAAUUCACCUUUGAUUUUUACUCCUCACUUCCCCUUUCAGGUCCAUAGGGUUUUACUGCCCCUGGUGGAGACUGUAGCACACUGCAGUCCCUUUCAGGUCCACAGGGUUUUACUGCCCCCUGCUGGAGACUGGAGCACACUGCAGUCCCUUUCAGGUCCAUAGGGUUUUACUGCCCCCUGGUGGAGACUGGAGCACACUGCAGUCCCUUUCAGGUCCAUAGGGUUUUACUGCCCCCUGCUGGAGACUGGAGCACACUGCAGUCUCUGGCUUUCUUUGUGCAGCUUGAUGAUGAGGCCCUCAUCAAUACAGAUACUGUAUGUAGAACCAUAGUAAAGACCAGUAUGGACUAUCAAUACAGAUACUGUAUGUAGAACCAUAGUAAAGACCAGUAUGGACUAUCAAUACAAAGUGACCAUUUAGAAUGAGGCCCAGUUCAAUGAGAGGAAGUCUUAACAGAACUGGGGGAUGACAGACAGGAAGUGGGGGGUGGAGAUCUAAUAUAUUUUUGUGCCAAACACUAAAGCAUGAUAUUGUAAUAAAUCUACACCCUAUUCCCUACGUAGAACACUACUUUAGACCUGGUCAGAAGCACCGUAGUGCACUACAUAGGGAAUAGGGAACCAUUUGGAACAGAGACAGUAAUUCCCUGAACAUCUUCCUCUUCCUCAUCUGGUUUCUUGAACAGCCCUUCACUCCUCCCCUCUUCCUC